rnacentral:sRNA from 1 species
UCCAAGGGUCUGAUUAUACCGAAUGUAUGAGCCACGGCUGUCACCGACAGCUUCUAAUUAUUACGAUGUGUUGCCACACUAAAGAUUCCACAUUUCCCAUGGGAGCAAGUUGGACCAUCGGGUUUUACCCUUAGAAGUCACUACCAGGGCCAGGCUCAGAGCUGCAUGUGACCUUAUUGAGGAGUUUAAAACUACCUUGAAAGAUGAAGAUUCAUUUACUAAACUUGGGACAGAUACAGAAGUCAGACACAUUUCUGUGCUGUUUACUAGAAGAAAGAAAAUCCAGACAGAGGACAAAUGCUGAGGAUGGGAUGAGAUGUGUGAAAGAGGAGUGGGGAGCAACGAUGGAAGACAUCAUGUUCCAAAGUGCACUACCUCAGAGAGCAUCCCAGGGACACACGCCUCCAGUCACAAAACUGAGCUGAUAAAAGUCCAUCUUCCCAUGAUAACUUUCUAGUCAGGCCUCUAGUGCAGCUGAGGCUGUUUCCUCCCUCUCAGACUCAGAGCAUUGCCCUACCUUCCAGCAGGGCUCUGUAUGCUACCAUAGUGUGCAAGACAGGUUCUUCGGAGGGGGGGGGGGAACACCUAUCCAUACAUUUGCACUGCAAUACCCAGGAGACACAAUGUCAAUGACAGUCCAGCUUCUGACUUGCCUUCCUUCAUUGAUCCUGUGUGAGUGGCUUUGCUGUCCUUUCCACCAGGGCACUAGGGCAAGAAUACAGAGGAGGGAGUCUGCCCCCUUCUCCUUCACCUCGCCUGAACAAUUACUCAGCCAGGCUCAUGACCUCCUGUACUUAUAUCUCCUAGGACUGCACACUUUUUUAACCUUCCAUGUCACCAAUUCAGUCUGGCCACUUUGGGUUUUUCCUUAGCUAUUGCUGUCUGACACAGACACUCCCUGCUUUACACUUUUGCCCCAGAGGGCUGCAUACACAAAUCAGAGCACUCUUCCCUUGAAUGCUCCCUCAGGGGCUCCUACCAUUAAGUCUCAAACCCGGGGACAAAUGGCCAGAGGUGCCUAUUUAACAUCAAAGUAAAGCAUACCUGGCCACCAGGUUCUCCCAGCAUCCCUCAGUCCCUAUCUGGUUCAGGGUGUGGCUGGUAUACCUGCCCCCUCCCCUUCUCCAGCCCUGGGCUGCCCUUCCCCCAGCUGCUCCUUCAUAUAUAAUCCAGCCAUUUGGCUAAGACUCUCCUCUGGUCAGUCUCCUGGCCCAGGCCUCUGCUCUUGGCCAGUGGCUCCUUUCCCCCUACCUCCUUGCCUUCUCUGCUCAUGGCUUGGGUCAUGUCUAUUCUGGAGUCUCCCAGAUGUGCCUGCCUCUAGUUAGGCUCUCCCUUUUGUACAAUAAACCUUUUCCACCAUACCUUUCCUUUUUAUUUAUUUUUUUCAUUCACUUAAUACUCUACAUAAAUAUCUGGAGUGACUCAUAAGCCCCUACCCACCAUCUAGGAAACCACUGUUUCUUUCUUUGAUCUCUGACUUUUCAGGGUGUUGCUUCCUUCACAGGUGAUUGCCAGUAAGGUGAGUCACCUCAAUUCCUUACUCCUUGGACUAAAAACUGUGGGGCUGGAGAGAUGGCUCAGCAGUUACUUUUACCCUUCUCACAGAAGACCAAGGUUCAGUUCCCGGCACCAAUACAAUAGCUUACAUCCCACCUGUAAGGGGGUCUAACUCCUGUUUUGGCCUCUGAGGGCAACAGGCAGACAUGUACUACAUAUCUGCAGAAACUCAUUUAUCCACAAACAAUAAAAAUAACUCAAUCUUUUAAAAAAUUAGAAUAGCUAUAACCAAGUAAAUGGUUUGAAAAUAGGCACCCAUUAUGUGUUUGUUGGGUGAAUAAAUAUU